AUGAACUUUUCUUCCUUUUCAGAUAGGCUAAGAAGAGCUCGACACCUCAUCAUGAGUCACCUAGAUGGAGUGCCUUCCAUCAAGGACCUCAGUGCACCUUGCAAAUGUCAUAAGUCAUCAAAGCCCUUCUAUAAUGGAGGUAAGUAUCUGUAGUCACAAUUUUAUAGUGAAAGAAGCACAGGGAAGGUAAGUGUUUUUGUUUUUUAAAGUGGAAUAUGUUUUAGUCAAAAUACUUAGUCAUCAUUUAAGAAGGCAGAGACACUAUUUACUGAAUGAAACUCAAUCAUACAAAUGAAUGAAAUGGUUCAUCAACAAGAUUUGGCUCUCCCGGCAAUCAACACCUGGGCCAUAUUAAUUAUUUUGAAGAAUGAUGAAUAGAUCAGAAGUGAUUUACUGCUAAUUAAUCCAUCUUUAGAAUUAUUGGUGUAGAAAAUGGUGAUUUAACCACCAUAAUGAUAU
rnacentral:lncRNA from 12 species